rnacentral:rRNA from 1 species
CCUACGGGUGGCUGCAGUGGGGAAUAUUGGACAAUGGGGGCAACCCUGAUCCAGCCAUGCCGCGUGUGUGAAGAAGGCCCUCGGGUUGUAAAGCACUUUCAGUGAGGAAGAACGCCUGGUGGUGAAUACCCAUCAGGAAAGACAUCACCCACAGAAGAAGCACCGGCUAACUCCGUGCCAGCAGCCGCGGUAAUACGGAGGGUGCGAGCGUUAAUCGGAAUUACUGGGCGUAAAGCGCGCGUAGGUGGCUUGAUAAGCCGGUUGUGAAAGCCCCGGGCUCAACCUGGGAACGGCAUCCGGAACUGUCAAGCUAGAGUGCAGGAGAGGGAGGUAGAAUUCCCGGUGUAGCGGUGAAAUGCGUAGAGAUCGGGAGGAAUACCAGUGGCGAAGGCGGCCUUCUGGACUGCCACUGACACUGAGGUGCGAAAGCGUGGGUAGCAAACAGGAUUAGAUACCCCUGUAGUC